GUGCCUGCUUAAGCAGCACAUAUACUAAAAUUGGAAUGACACAGAGAAGAUUAGCAUGGCCCCAGCGCGAGGAUGACACAUAAAUUCAUGAAGCGUACCAUAUAAAA
ensembl:snRNA U6 U6 spliceosomal RNA